rnacentral:rRNA from 1 species
AACGAACGCUGGCGGCGUGCUUAACACAUGCAAGUCGAACGCGAAAGGGACUUCGGUCCUGAGUAGAGUGGCGCACGGGUGAGUAACGCGUAAGUGAUCUACCCCUGUAUUUGGGAUAACUAUGGGAAACUGUAGCUAAUACCGGAUACGUUCAUGUAGUUGCGAUUAUGUGAAGAAAGAUGGCCUCUGAUUCAAGCUAUUGUACAGGGAGGAGCUUGCGUACCAUUAGCUAGUUGGUAGGGUAAUGGCCUACCAAGGCAACGAUGGUUAGCGGGUCUGAGAGGAUGAGCCGCCACAAUGGAACUGAACCACGGGCCAGACUCCUGCGGGAGGCAGCAGUGAGGAAUAUUGCGCAAUGGGGGCAACCCUGACGCAGCGACGCCGCGUGGAUGAUGAAGGCCUUCGGGUCGUAAAAUCCUGUCAGAUGGGGAGAAGUGCGAGGUGGUUAAUACCCAUUUUGUUUGACGGUACCGUCAGAGGAAGCACCGGCUAACUCCGUGCCAGCCGCCGCAGUAAGAC